CUGAUUUGUCCUAAGUCAAACUUCUCUAUAUUUGACCAAGUCUAUAGAAAAAUGUGCUGAUAUCUACAGCAUAAAAAACGUGCUAAUAUAACAAAAUAAAAAUUAUGAAACUAAUUUGGUGCUGUAGAUGUUGACAUAUUUUUCAAUAGACUUGGCCAAAGUCAAAGAAGUUUGACUUAGGACAAUUGAAG
rnacentral:pre_miRNA from 1 species